UUUCCAUUGACCCACUUCCUUGAUUAUUUCAUUUAUGGCUCAAUGCUCAUGUGGGGUUGAUCCAAUGGAUGGGGAUAACACUUUGGUAGGGUUAACUACGAUUUUUGGGAUGUGGGUAUGUGAUAGUUGGUAUUAGGGUAUUCAACCAUGGAGGUUUUGGGCACUUGGUUUAUUGGAGGAAGGAGGGGCUGACUUUUAUGUGUUUUAUGAUGAUUUUUCUGUUUUGAGUUGAGUUGUUGUAAUGAUUUUUGUCAUGAAGUUGAUGAAAUGUUAACUAUUACUUGUCGUAGUGAUUUGAGAAUGUGCUUGUGCAUGCCAAGUGUUUGCUAUAUUGCCUAUAUGAGUUAUGAGAUUGAAUUGCUUGACUCUUGUUGUGAUGACUAUUAUAUGAGGUUAUAGGUUUCAUUCAUAGUUUUUAUCAUGUGCUAAAACAUGUAGCUUUGAGGUUAAUCAAGUCUAAAAGUUUUUGGCAUGAUAUUUAGAUUAUAGUAAUUUUAUUUUGGAAUUGUAAAUCUGUCAGUGACAGAUUUGAGUAAGCUGCAUUACAUGAUUUUUAAUAAAUUAUAGAAAAAUCAUUUUGAGCCGAAUUUUUGGUGGUACAUACUACACAUAUAAGAGCUUAUCCCUAUUUAAUUUCAAGUUGAUCGGAUAACUUUUCAUAGACCAAAUGGUUUUUACAAAAGGGCUGACCUGCUGUGUAGUGAAUCUGAAAGUAUGACGAGUAUGUAAGGAUUUUGUGAAUUUAAUUGAAACCCUUGUUGAGUGGGUUGGCUUGUAAAUUCCUUCUACAUGUGUUUUACUUAGUUAACUUUAAUAAUGGUUUGGUUUAAUCUCUUGCAAUAGUGUAUUAAAAUGUUUUGGUUGUGUUAUGGUCCUUUGGAUCACUUGUAUGCUUGUUUGAUGUCCCUUGGGAAUAGGUGCCUUGGGAUAGUCAAGUUAGGUUUUAGGCCAUCGAUUUGAUUUUAGGGGACCAUUUUCGAUUUAUGGAGACAAGUUUGAAGGUACUUUGUGAUAGGCCUUGUUAUUGAUAGGCUUGAUCGUUGUGUUUCUGGGUUUCGAGAUUCUUGGUGAUGGACCUAGUAAUUGGAUUGCUUGCUUAGGUGGUGGUGCCCGGUUGAGGUGAAAUUGGUUGGCCCCCUGAGUUUUUCAGAUAACUUUGCUAUACCUUGGGCAUAGAGCUUGUUUUAUUGGUGGUAAUUGGAGCAUCAUGCUAAUUGAGAGAUUUAUGCUAUGAUUGGUUGGUGACUCAACUUCCUAAAUUUAUUGAGGCCAUAGCUAAUUCUAUAGGAGGUUGGGCCCUUGAGGUUUGUUAGCCUUGGGCAUAGUAGGCAUAGAUUCUAUUGUCGUGGUUGCCUUUCCUUGGAAGGAUUGUGAUAUGAUGUUGAUCCAUUUGGAAUUUUGGAAUUUUGUAUAUAUUUGGAGACGUUAUUUGUAAUUCAUAUUAUUUGUAAAUGUGUUAUAGAGUUUUGACUUGUAAUAUGGAGAUUUUAGUAUGGUUA